CCUACGGGUGGCAGCAGUGGGGAAUAGUGGGCAAUGGGCGCAAGCCUGACCCAGCAACGCCGCGUGAAGGAAGAAGGCUUUCGGGUUGUAAACUUCUUUGAAGAGGGAAGAGCAGAAGACGGUACCUCUGGAAUAAGCCACGGCUAACUACGUGCCAGCAGCCGCGGUAAUACGUAGGGGGCAAGCGUUGUCCGGAUUUACUGGGUCGAAAGGGCGUGCAGCCGGGAGGACAAGUCAGAUGUGAAAUCCCGCGGCUCAACCGCGGAACGGCAUUUGAAACUGUUUUUCUUGAGUACCGGAUAGGUCAUCGGAAUUCCUUGUGUAGCGGUGAAAUGCGUAGAUAUUAGG
rnacentral:rRNA from 1 species